rnacentral:rRNA from 1 species
UACGUAGGGGGCUAGCGUUGUCCGGAAUCAUUGGGCGUAAAGAGCGUGUAGGCGGCCCGGUAAGUCCGCUGUAAAAGUCAAAGGCUCAACCUUUGAAUGUCAGUGGAUACUGCCGGGCUAGAGUCCGGAAGAGGCGAGUGGAACUCCUGGUGUAGCGGUGGAAUGCGCAGAUAUCAGGAAGAACACCAACGGCGAAGGCAGCUCGCUGGGACGGUACUGACGCUGAGAUGCGAAAGCGUGGGGAGCGAACAGG